rnacentral:tRNA from 1 species
UCCCUAGAAGUUCAAUGGUCAGGACUCCACAUUCUCACUGCUGAGGGCCUGGGUUCAAUCCCUGCUUGGGGA